rnacentral:rRNA from 1 species
AGAGUUUGAUCAUGGCUCAGAUUGAACGCUGGCGGCAGGCCUAACACAUGCAAGUCGAACGGUAACAGGAAGCAGCUUGCUGCUUUGCUGACGAGUGGCGGACGGGUGAGUAAUGUCUGGGAAACUGCCUGAUGGAGGGGGAUAACUACUGGAAACGGUAGCUAAUACCGCAUAACGUCGCAAGACCAAAGAGGGGGACCUUAGGGCCUCUUGCCAUCGGAUGUGCCCAGAUGGGAUUAGCUAGUAGGUGGGGUAACGGCUCACCUAGGCGACGAUCCCUAGCUGGUCUGAGAGGAUGACCAGCCACACUGGAACUGAGACACGGUCCAGACUCCUACGGGAGGCAGCAGUGGGGAAUAUUGCACAAUGGGCGCAAGCCUGAUGCAGCCAUGCCGCGUGUAUGAAGAAGGCCUUCGGGUUGUAAAGUACUUUCAGCGGGGAGGAAGGGAGUAAAGUUAAUACCUUUGCUCAUUGACGUUACCCGCAGAAGAAGCACCGGCUAACUCCGUGCCAGCAGCCGCGGUAAUACGGAGGGUGCAAGCGUUAAUCGGAAUUACUGGGCGUAAAGCGCACGCAGGCGGUUUGUUAAGUCAGAUGUGAAAUCCCCGGGCUCAACCUGGGAACUGCAUCUGAUACUGGCAAGCUUGAGUCUCGUAGAGGGGGGUAGAAUUCCAGGUGUAGCGGUGAAAUGCGUAGAGAUCUGGAGGAAUACCGGUGGCGAAGGCGGCCCCCUGGACGAAGACUGACGCUCAGGUGCGAAAGCGUGGGGAGCAAACAGGAUUAGAUACCCUGGUAGUCCACGCCGUAAACGAUGUCGACUUGGAGGUUGUGCCCUUGAGGCGUGGCUUCCGGAGCUAACGCGUUAAGUCGACCGCCUGGGGAGUACGGCCGCAAGGUUAAAACUCAAAUGAAUUGACGGGGGCCCGCACAAGCGGUGGAGCAUGUGGUUUAAUUCGAUGCAACGCGAAGAACCUUACCUGGUCUUGACAUCCACGGAAGUUUUCAGAGAUGAGAAUGUGCCUUCGGGAACCGUGAGACAGGUGCUGCAUGGCUGUCGUCAGCUCGUGUUGUGAAAUGUUGGGUUAAGUCCCGCAACGAGCGCAACCCUUAUCCUUUGUUGCCAGCGGUCCGGCCGGGAACUCAAAGGAGACUGCCAGUGAUAAACUGGAGGAAGGUGGGGAUGACGUCAAGUCAUCAUGGCCCUUACGACCAGGGCUACACACGUGCUACAAUGGCGCAUACAAAGAGAAGCGACCUCGCGAGAGCAAGCGGACCUCAUAAAGUGCGUCGUAGUCCGGAUUGGAGUCUGCAACUCGACUCCAUGAAGUCGGAAUCGCUAGUAAUCGUGGAUCAGAAUGCCACGGUGAAUACGUUCCCGGGCCUUGUACACACCGCCCGUCACACCAUGGGAGUGGGUUGCAAAAGAAGUAGGUAGCUUAACCUUCGGGAGGGCGCCUACCACUUUGUGAUUCAUGACUGGGGUGAAGUCGUAACAAGGUAACCGUAGGGGAACCUGCGGUUG